GAUGAACGCUGGCGGCGUGCCUAACACAUGCAAGUCGAGCGAUUCUCUUCGGAGAAGAGCGGCGGACGGGUGAGUAACGCGUGGGUAACCUGCCCUGUACACACGGAUAACAUACCGAAAGGUAUGCUAAUACGGGAUAAUGUGCUUUUAUCGCAUGGUAAAAGUAUCAAAGCUCCGGCGGUACAGGAUGGACCCGCGUCUGAUUAGCUAGUUGGUAAGGUAACGGCUUACCAAGGCGACGAUCAGUAGCCGACCUGAGAGGGUGAUCGGCCACAUUGGAACUGAGACACGGUCCAAACUCCUACGGGAGGCAGCAGUGGGGAAUAUUGCACAAUGGGCGAAAGCCUGAUGCAGCAACGCCGCGUGAGCGAUGAAGGCCUUCGGGUCGUAAAGCUCUGUCCUCAAGGAAGAUAAUGACGGUACUUGAGGAGGAAGCCCCGGCUAACUACGUGCCAGCCGCCGCGGUAACAC
rnacentral:rRNA from 1 species